UACGUAGGGUGCUAGCGUUGUCCGGAUUUAUUGGGCGUAAAGGGCUCGUAGGCGGCGUGUCGCGUCGGGAGUGAAAGCCCGCUGCUUAACGGCGGGUUGGCUUCCGGUACGGGCAUCGCUGGAGUGCGGCAGGGGAGACUGGAAUUCCUGGUGUAGCGGUGAAAUGCGUAGAUAUCAGGAGGAACACCUGUGGCGAAAGCGGCGCACUGGACCACAACUGACGCUGAGGCGCGAAAGCUAGGGGAGCAAACAGG
rnacentral:rRNA from 1 species